CAGCAGCCGCGGUAAUACAGAGGGUGCGAGCGUUAAUCGGAUUUACUGGGCGUAAAGCGUGCGUAGGCGGCUUUUUAAGUCGGAUGUGAAAUCCCUGAGCUUAACUUAGGAAUUGCAUUCGAUACUGGGAAGCUAGAGUAUGGGAGAGGAUGGUAGAAUUCCAGGUGUAGCGGUGAAAUGCGUAGAGAUCUGGAGGAAUACCGAUGGCGAAGGCAGCCAUCUGGCCUAAUACUGACGCUGAGGUACGAAAGCAUGGGGAGCAAACAGGAUUAGAUAUCCCAGUAGUCCCUGUCUCUUAUAC
rnacentral:rRNA from 1 species